rnacentral:rRNA from 1 species
GGAAGGAUCAUUACCGAAUUGUCAAACAUGGGUUGUUGCUGGCCCCCGAACGGGGCAUGUGCACGCUCUGUUUACACAUCCACUCACACCUGUGCACCCUCUGUAGUUCUGUGGACCGGGAGACGUCGUCUUCCUUCCGUAGCUCUACGUCUUUACACACACACCGUAGCGAUGUCUCAUGGAAUGUUUUUUCGCGUUUAACGCAAUACAAUACAACUUUCAGCAACGGAUCUCUUGGCUCUCGCAUCGAUGAAGAACGCAGCGAAAUGCGAUAAGUAAUGUGAAUUGCAGAAUUCAGUGAAUCAUCGAAUCUUUGAACGCACCUUGCGCCCCUUGGUUAUUCCUCGGAGCAUGCCUGUUUGAGUAUCAUGAACACCUCAACUCUCAUGGUCUUCCAUGAUGAGCUUGGACUUUGGGGGUUUGCUGGCCUUGUGGCCGGCUCCUCUCAAAUGAAUCAGCUUGCCAGUGUUUGGCGGCGUCACGGGUGUGAUAACUAUCUACGCUUGUGGUCGUCCACCAGGUAACCCUCAGCGAUGAAGGUUCAUUGGGGCUCAUAAACGUCUCUCCCCAGCGAGGACAACUUUUGAACGUUCGAUCUCAAAUCAGGUAGGACUACCCGCUGAACUUAAGCAUAUCAAUAAGCGGAGGAAAAGAAACUAACAAG